rnacentral:rRNA from 1 species
CCAAGGAGUAUAGCGUGCGCGCGAGUCAUUGGGUGGAAAACCUAAAGGCGCAAUGAAAGUGUCUGGGGGCGCCUCAGGCGCCCUCGGCGGGAGGAUGGGCGAACCGGCCCCCCGGCCGGAGCCCCGCACUCCCGGGGCGUCUCGUUCUCUUUUAGAGUCGAGACGCACCAGGAGCGCACACGCUGUUACCCGAAAGAUGGUGAACUAUGCCUGGCCAGGACGAAGCCAGGGGAAACCCUGGUGGAGGUCCGAAGCGAUUCUGACGUGCAAAUCGAUCGUCUGAGCUGGGUAUAGGGGCGAAAGACCAAUCGAACGAUCUAGUAGCUGGUUCCCUCUGAAGUUUCCCUCAGGAUAGCUGGCACUCGGAAAGGAACGAGUCUCAUCCGGUAGAGCGAAUGAUUAGAGGUGAUGGGGUCGAAACGACUUCAACCUAUUCUCAAACUCCCAAUAGAUGAGAGCCCCGGCUUGCUUGAAAGUGAAGCCGCGGGAUUCGGAUCGGAGAGGCCAAGUG